rnacentral:rRNA from 1 species
AGCUCAACAGCUAGUCCACCCAACCAAAAACAAACCCCAACCAUCUAAAUACCCCCUAAUACACGCAAUACACAUCAAACAAAACAUUUUCCCCCUUUAGUAUAGGCGAUAGAAAAAG